rnacentral:lncRNA from 1 species
UAAUUAUAUUUCAGACUUGCUACAUAAAAUUAGGACUCAAAAAUACAAAUAUCUAUAUGUCCAUCAUGAUUUUUUACAGAACAGAAGUAAUCAUAAUCAUUUACUUGUUUUUUUUUUAUUUCUAUAGGAAAAUAGCAAAAAUUUCAUCUCCUGAAGAAAUUUGAAGAUUUUUUUGGAUAUUCUUUUAAAGGUGAAACUUUUCUUCUUUAGGAUUGGACAACUGAAUUUAAAGGCAAGUUAAAGUUCAAUAUUUUGA